UAUUUUACCAAGUUCAGCAUCCAAGAUUGGCCAUAUCUCAUGUUCUGAUUUUUCUUAGGAUUGCUGAGUACUUUUCUUUGUUUGAUUGAUUUCUCAGUUACUGAUUACCCUCGAGAAACUAAUCCCCCAGCCCCACAUUGAAAGAGAAAAAUAAAAUAAUCAUGAAAGGUAACAGUUCCUUGAGAGAAACCACACCAAAAAAAAAAAAA
rnacentral:misc_RNA from 1 species